CCCUUAGAUGUCCUGGGCCGCACGCGCGUUACACUGAUGCAUUCAACGAGCUUAUAACCUUGGCCGAGAGGCCUGGGCAAUCUUGUUAACGUGCAUCGUGAUAGGGAUAGAUUAUUGAAAUUAUUAAUCUUGAACGAGGAAUUCCUAGUAAACGCAGAUCAUCAAUCUGCAUUGAUUACGUCCCUGCCCUUUGUACACACCGCCCGUCGCACCUACCGAUUGGAUGGUCCGGUGAAGCCUCGGGAUUGUGGUUCUUGCCGCUUUAUUGUGGCGUGACCGCGAGAACUUGUCUAAACCUUAUCAUCUAGAGGAAGGUGAAAUCGUAACA
rnacentral:rRNA from 1 species